rnacentral:tRNA from 1 species
GGAGACGUGGCUGAGUGGUUGAAAGCGCCGCACUCGAAAUGCGGUAUACCAGUAAUGGUAUCAGGGGUUCAAAUCCUCUCGUCUCCG